GGGAGCUACCAUUUGAUUUUUAUGGGGGGGCUAGGAUGACAAUUGAAAAAAAUAGGCAGGACAGGAGUUUUGAGUAAAAAAAAAGGCAGGAUGAGACACUUUGCCAAAAAAAAAAGGCAGGAUGACAAUUUAGGUAAAAAAAAGUUAGGAUAAACUAAUAAAAAAAAAGGCAGGACCGAAUAGAGUGAAAAAUAAAAAGGCAGGACAGAGAUUACAACUAAAAAAAAAUGCAGGACAAAAUUUUUCAUCCUCGC
rnacentral:lncRNA from 1 species